AUAACAUCGCUCCGGUGGCCUAGUGGAUAGUUAGAGCAUCUGCCUAAGAUGGAGGAGGUGGCGGGUUCGAACCCUGCCGCGUUAUA